AGGGAAUGGCCCACGUGGGCCCGCCCCCGCGCGCCGACCAAUGGGGCCGCGCCGACGUCACGCGCGCCGCUCCCCUUCCCCCGGGCGCUCGGCCGCCAUUUCAGUGCGCGCCGCGGCGGCGGCGGGAGCGGAGCAGCAGCGUUGGCCGCGCAGGUGCGGCCCGCGGCGGCGCUGAGGCGGAACCAUCCUCUCCGGCGCGGCGGAGCGACGAGCGGAACUCACCUUUUUUCCAAUAAAUUCCUAAUUUUUUAACCGA